rnacentral:rRNA from 1 species
UACAGAGGUCUCAAGCGUUGUUCGGAUUCAUUGGGCGUAAAGGGUGCGUAGGCGGCGGGGUAAGUCGGAUGUGAAAUCCCGGGGCUCAACCCCCGGAACUGCAUUCGAUACUGCCUUGCUAGAGUACUGGAGAGGAGACUGGAAUUUACGGUGUAGCAGUGAAAUGCGUAGAUAUCGUAAGGAAGACCAGUGGCGAAGGCGAGUCUCUGGACAGUUACUGACGCUGAGGCACGAAGGCCAGGGGAGCAAACGGG